GGGGCUAUGGGGUAACUAGGCAUCCUGGCGGGCUCCAGACCUGCUGAUGGGGGUUCAAAUCCCCCUAGCCCCA
rnacentral:tRNA from 1 species